AGAACAGAGAAACAGAGGAU
rnacentral:snRNA from 1 species